AAAGUGGCGAAAGCCUCCUUUAUGUAUCUCUUGUCUCAGCUAGACCAGAGGGUGAAGCAUGAUGUGUUAGUAUGUGGUCAUUUAAUCCAAACUCUUGUGCUACAACUCAUCUGUUUCCCUUAACAUUUAAUGCUUCAUUGAUAUAUCCACAGUUCAGUUGUGAGUGGUUUCCUUAUUCCCCCAGAUGAUCGUCAGUGCUCCACAUCUACCUCUGACCAGCAGGCAGAAUGCUAAUGGGAAAGCUUCCCUGGAGAUACGUUUGCUGCUAAAGUAGCUGAUCGCCAGACACUGCUGCAGAAGAAGCAGAUGCUGGCAAAACAGCAUACAAAUGAGUUCUCUGGUGAGGGUAGAGCAAUUUGUACAGGGAUCAUUCAGAAAGCAGCAGCACCCCACAGUGUGCAGGCUCUAGACGUGCUGGCGAUGCUGCAGUGAGAGCAGGAGCAUGGUCAUGCAUGCCCUGAGAGGCUGUGGACAAGAAGGUGGAAGAAACAAGUCAGAAAAGAAGAGCUAACAGACCCUGGGGACUAAUGAAUUAGAGCAAUAAAGCUGCUUCUCUGUGAGUAACUCUGAAGUUCCCUCUUCUGAGUCAGUCAACUUCUCUUCCCGUCUUUCCCACCCUAAUGUGCUGAACCACACCUACCCCAGCCUAUUGUUACCGACUGGACGCAGUCUGCUGGGAAGCUUGUGUAGACCCAACUGGCACUAGCCCAGGUUCUUAGCCAAUACCAGAUGACCGUCAUUUGGCACCACAUUUGGAUGCUCUGCUAGCAGAUAACAGAAGUGGCUACUGGCCCUUCUCUGUAGUGACACUUGAAUUAAUUCCCUUCAGUUCCCCAAAAGGGAAGUUGCUGAGCUGGUAUUGACCAUGCAAAGAUAUCUCAGCUUUGUUUUUCAGGUGAUGAACUUGUGUAACUGUCCAUUAGUGCUAAGGGGGCUUCCAGAACUCCGCACUGAGUUCUUGAGGAAAAUGUUGAAUGUAGCCUUUCCCUCCACCCCCCGCUUGCUGUGAUCAGUAUAAACCUUUUGUGGCCUGAUACCCAAAAGGUACUGAGCAGCCACAGCCUCCACUGCCUUCCUUUAACUUUGCUGGUACUCAUCCUGUCUCAGCCCACUAACUUCUGGGGUGGGUGAAUGAUGCUGCUGCUAGUCGUGGUGACUGAGGUACAGCACAGGUGGCAGCAGGGUAAGCAGCCCCUACUGCCUUGCUAAUAUGCACAACUCUGCUCUGCAGGGACCCUCCGCAGGACAGAGAGGAGGGUUUGGUUGCUAUGCCCCAUUCAGUUCUUGAUCUCAGCUGAGACUGUAAACUGUGGGGCUUUGUGAUCAGAUACUUGGCCACUAGGCACUGACUGAGAUUCUUCAGCUUUAAGGCCAGAAAGGACCAUCAUGAUCAUCUAGUCUGACCUCUUGAACAUUGCAGGCCACGGAACCUCACCCACCCACUCCUGUACUAGACCCCUAACCUCUGGCUGAGUUACUGAAGUCCUCAAAUCAUGAUUUAAAGGCUUCAAGUCAAGAGUGACUUGAAUGUAUGUUUUGUUGUUACUUCCUGCAGUUACUUCCCGUUUGUUACUAUCCCCUUUCCAGGCUUCUGCAGUGUCAGUGCCUUUGGCCUGGGUGUGCUCAGUUAUAACUCCUUGGCUGUUGUCUAUGGCACAAGGUUUUAUGACAGGCAGGGGCUGCGAAGAGUGUCGGAGUCUAGCUCAGAUAGCCAAGGUGAUAAAAAGAAACGAACGUGGGACAGAAAUGGGCUCUCCUGCUUUUAGCAUUCUGUAAAAUUCAUGGGUUUAGUUCUGGCAAUGAUUCUGUGCUGCUCCUGUGUAAAGUGGCAGAAGGAUGCAUACAGUAACUUUAUAGGGGCAUUACUAGGAACAGAAUCAAACUGUUAAAGAUCCACAUCAGUUUCACUCAUGCUAGAGAAGUGGUGUGUCCUGGAGCACAGGGGCAAUGCUCUGGGCAUAAUAUAUACUGGCUUUUAGAGCAACAGGAGACUCCUGGGGGCUUCUCACCCCUUGCAUUGUCCUUCUAGUAGCAACUAUCAACAUGAAGGAGAGUGUCUAUCGGACUGAUCAGUGCUGCUGUUCACACAUCCUGACUGUAUAUUAAGAAAUAACUGUUAAAUGCUUGUUUAAAAACAGUUUCUGGUUGAUACUUAUGUCAGCUUGUUCAUGGCAUUAAAACAGCUUUUAAACGUUGGCUCCGAACACAAGCGUAGGAGUGAAAGUGCAGAAAUGUGUGACUGAGUUGAACCGGGUUGUUCCAAAGGCCAGUGCGUUAGUCUUUGUACAAAGCUGGGACAUGUGUGUGUCUAACAAACCUACUAGGCCUGUGCCAGCUAAGUACAAAUAACACUUUCCUGAGCCAGAGGGGAGUUCACCUAGGGAAUGAAGGGGAGCACCGAGCGAUUGCUAGGGUCAUCUCAUGACCAGGACUCCUAACAGUGCGGUCUGAGCUGCUCUGCCCAUGCCCCCUGCCUGGCUAGUAUUGCCCCCAGUUUGGCCAGCUGUAGGACCCCUCCAGGAGAGCUGACUGUGCACCCACUGAGCGGUUGUAACUGCUCUUCCCACCAGAUGAAGAAUUUUCAUUAAUGGCGUUCUGUAGUCUGAGCUAUGCUGUCACAUCCAGGGCUGAAUCUACCCAGUGUCUGCCUGACAGGACUGAAAUAAACCCCAGUGAAUCACAGGAGCAGGCUAGAGAAGCUCUUAGAAAGCUGUUUAUUAACAAAGGGGUGAAAAAAUACAUGGUUCUGUAAAAAGGACUUUAAGUAAAUUAUUAAUUCCAAGUUUAAAAAUAUGUAUUUAAUUACAAUCUAAGGGCUUUCUCAGAGACCUGAAUUCUGGUAACAAGGUCCCCUUUGUAGGUGGUCAAGCUAUAGCUUGGGAGGUCAUUGCAAAUAGCCCAUUAAGUUUAUGAAGAAAAAAGUGAAGCCCAAAACUCUGUGGCAGGAAAUUCAAGCUUCUCCACCCAUGGCAGCCAUGUUUUCCCCAAGUUGAAGCUAUGAAGUAAUGCGGGCAAUAAAUCGCUGUCACGGCUCCACUUGGAGCAGAAAUCGGCUACGGCUUCAGUAUCAACAACACUACAGCCAAGGCGCAGUCUUCUGAGCUCUCUGUACGUGGAUCCUCCUUUGAUGCUAAGGGUUGGUUGGACAGGAGUGUUUAACAGGCCCACAGUCUACAGCACAUGGUUUCUUAACACAAGGCCUGUUCCUACCAAAUGCAGUGCUUGCUUCCCUGAGCAGUUCAGUGAACGCUAUGCCCUACAGUAAGUGCAUGCAGCAUUGGACCCAUGCUUUGUAACAGGUAUGCAUGUAACAGGGUUUGCACCAGGAUCAGUGCCAAACCCUCUUCUAAACCGUAGUGCAGAAGAAGCUGAAGGGAGAAGCCCCAAACGAGCAUAUUAAAUUCAUGGACAUUUUGUAUUUUCACAUCAGUGACUUGGAAUAAUGAAAAUGCAUUUUUCCCUCUCUUAUGCUCUAGGGUUUAAUUCUACUAUCAACACCUCCCGGGACGUGCUGAGCACAGUAGGAACAAAGGGGACUCACUACCUCUCAGGAUCAUGCCCUUUUUUGGUGGUGGUUGUAUCUGCCACCUGGCGAGGGACUGGGAAGACUUUAGUGUGACGUAGGCUAUGUCUACACUGCACACCUUACAGUGGUGCAGCUGUGCCAUUGUAGUUGCUCUUUGUCGCCAGGAGAGCGCGCUCCUAACGCCAAAAUAAAACCACCUCGAAUGAGGGGCGGUAACUUCGUCAGCGGGAGAGUCUUCUGCUAACAAAGCGGUGUCCACAUGGGCACUUUUCGUUGCUAAAACUUUUGUCGUUCAGGGAAGUGUUUUUUCACUUCCCCUGAGCAACAAAAGUUUUUAACAAUGAAAGUGUAGUGUGGACAUAGCCUAAGAGAAAAGUGUGGGUUUUUUCUAAAAAUAGCCUAUAACACGGUUUUAAAUAUUUUGUGUUGGCACAUGUUUUUACAGCUUAAAAUAUACUGCAUGUCUAACUCUGCACCUCUUUGCUUCAGUAAACAAGUGGCCCAGAUGCAUCAAUCAUUCCAGUUAGCUGAUUUCUCUAGGAAGACAUGGAAAUGUCAUCACCUCACCUCAGUGGGAGGAGAGCCACAUCAUUGACAUAACAGCCAGUGAGAAAAGCCAACUGAAAAUAACAAACACUAAUAUUUUUCUUUACAGUGUUUGAAAGUGUG